rnacentral:lncRNA from 1 species
UUAUAACGCUCACUUGUGCACUAAUAAACAUUCUGUUAUUACAGGUGGCAUCCUGUUAUUACAGAAAUAUCUUUCAUAAAUUAUGACUUUUUUCACAAAUGAAAGUAAUGCAACACCUAUUUGGUAUACUCAUCAUAUUGGUUAAAUAUAAUAAUUGCAUAUAAUUGAUAACAUCAGCAUCAUCCAGGUCAAUAUGCAAAUAUUCUGGAUCAUGGCAUUUCUGAGGAGCAAUUUUUAAUUUAACAACGUGGAGAAUCUGGUGCAACAGAGACCUGACUUACUGAUCUGAGAUGCAGUUUUUCAUUGUUAUGGAAUUCUUAAAUUUCACAGAUUCUGCAAGAGGAAACCGAGUCUAACUGGGUUCAACACAUUCUUGAUUCAUCAGAUUUGUUUUAAGAUGUGGCUUCUAGCUGUUUCAACAGACCAACACCACCUGCAAGUGUGCACUAACCCAGAGAAGGUUC